GAUGAACGCUGGCGGCGUGCCUAAUACAUGCAAGUCGAGCGAACAGACGAGGAGCUUGCUCCUCUGACGUUAGCGGCGGACGGGUGAGUAACACGUGGAUAACCUACCUAUAAGACUGGGAUAACUUCGGGAAACCGGAGCUAAUACCGGAUAAUAUAUUUAACCGCAUGGUUCAAUAGUUAAAGACGGUUUUGCUGUCACUUAUAGAUGGAUCCGCGCCGCAUUAGCUAGUUGGUAAGGUAACGGCUUACCAAGGCAACGAUGCGUAGCCGACCUGAGAGGGUGAUCGGCCACACUGGAACUGAGACACGGUCCAGACUCCUACGGGAGGCAGCAGUAGGGAAUCUUCCGCAAUGGGCGAAAGCUUGACGGAGCAACGCCGCGUGAGUGAUGAAGGUCUUCGGAUCGUAAAACUCUGUUAUUAGGGAAGAACAAAUGUGUAAGUAACUAUGCACGUCUUGACGGUACCUAAUCAGAAAGCCACGGCUAACUACGUG
rnacentral:rRNA from 1 species